rnacentral:Y_RNA from 1 species
AGCUGGUCCAAUGUUAAUGGGUUGUCAGAACUUAAAUUAACAUUAGCGUCACUAAAGUUGAUAUACAACCCCCCACUGCUACAUUUGACUGGCUUGAA